rnacentral:rRNA from 1 species
AGAGUUUGAUCCUGGCUCAGGAUGAACGCUGGCGGCGUGCCUAAUACAUGCAAGUCGAGCGAACGGACGAGAAGCUUGCUUCUCUGAUGUUAGCGGCGGACGGGUGAGUAACACGUGGAUAACCUACCUAUAAGACUGGGAUAACUUCGGGAAACCGGAGCUAAUACCGGAUAAUAUUUUGAACCGCAUGGUUCAAAAGUGAAAGACGGUCUUGCUGUCACUUAUAGAUGGAUCCGCGCUGCAUUAGCUAGUUGGUAAGGUAACGGCUUACCAAGGCAACGAUGCAUAGCCGACCUGAGAGGGUGAUCGGCCACACUGGAACUGAGACACGGUCCAGACUCCUACGGGAGGCAGCAGUAGGGAAUCUUCCGCAAUGGGCGAAAGCCUGACGGAGCAACGCCGCGUGAGUGAUGAAGGUCUUCGGAUCGUAAAACUCUGUUAUUAGGGAAGAACAUAUGUGUAAGUAACUGUGCACAUCUUGACGGUACCUAAUCAGAAAGCCACGGCUAACUACGUGCCAGCAGCCGCGGUAAUACGUAGGUGGCAAGCGUUAUCCGGAAUUAUUGGGCGUAAAGCGCGCGUAGGCGGUUUUUUAAGUCUGAUGUGAAAGCCCACGGCUCAACCGUGGAGGGUCAUUGGAAACUGGAAAACUUGAGUGCAGAAGAGGAAAGUGGAAUUCCAUGUGUAGCGGUGAAAUGCGCAGAGAUAUGGAGGAACACCAGUGGCGAAGGCGACUUUCUGGUCUGUAACUGACGCUGAUGUGCGAAAGCGUGGGGAUCAAACAGGAUUAGAUACCCUGGUAGUCCACGCCGUAAACGAUGAGUGCUAAGUGUUAGGGGGUUUCCGCCCCUUAGUGCUGCAGCUAACGCAUUAAGCACUCCGCCUGGGGAGUACGACCGCAAGGUUGAAACUCAAAGGAAUUGACGGGGACCCGCACAAGCGGUGGAGCAUGUGGUUUAAUUCGAAGCAACGCGAAGAACCUUACCAAAUCUUGACAUCCUUUGACAACUCUAGAGAUAGAGCCUUCCCCUUCGGGGGACAAAGUGACAGGUGGUGCAUGGUUGUCGUCAGCUCGUGUCGUGAGAUGUUGGGUUAAGUCCCGCAACGAGCGCAACCCUUAAGCUUAGUUGCCAUCAUUAAGUUGGGCACUCUAAGUUGACUGCCGGUGACAAACCGGAGGAAGGUGGGGAUGACAUCAAAUCAUCAUGCCCCUUAUGAUUUGGGCUACACACGUGCUACAAUGGACAAUACAAAGGGCAGCGAAACCGCGAGGUCAAGCAAAUCCCAUAAAGUUGUUCUCAGUUCGGAUUGUAGUCUGCAACUCGACUACAUGAAGCUGGAAUCGCUAGUAAUCGUAGAUCAGCAUGCUACGGUGAAUACGUUCCCGGGUCUUGUACACACCGCCCGUCACACCACGAGAGUUUGUAACACCCGAAGCCGGUGGAGUAACCUUUUAGGAGCCAGCCGUCGAAGGUGGGACAAAUGAUUGGGGUGAAGUCGUAACAAGGUAGCCGUAUCGGAAGGUGCGGCUGGAUCACCUCCUU